rnacentral:lncRNA from 1 species
GAUGGUGUGUUCGGAUCGUCGAUCGGACUCCGGCGGCCGGAGGCGAGUCGACCGAGCGAUCGAGUGUCUCGGUAAUUUUCUUUGGCCCGUUAAUUUUAGAAAUUCUUGGUUUAAUUGUGUCUAUUGGAUGGAAUUGAGUACUUGAUGAUUUUUGUGAGUAAAAAAUAAUUGUCUGUCAGUGCCUGCCUUGUGUUUUGUGCUGUGUGGCGAAGUCGGGAAAUAGUGAAGUUUGGGGACCCGACUCCCGUUGUUUAAAUUGUUGGAUUUUUGGAGUGUUUUUCUGGCAGGUCCUGGACCCGUUUUUACGGGGGGUAAUGUUCGUGUUGUAGGGGAGGUUCUGCCGGAUUUUCGGUAGAAUUCUCCUGAGUCGAGAUUCUUAGACAGUCAGUCCUAGGAAUCUAGACCUAGGAUCUAUUGUAAUUGUUUCAUCGUUUUGAUAAAUUGUUUUCCGUGACUAGAUUGUCCGUUUGUUCGGCUCGCUCCAACCGAGGCACCGGAGCAGAGCUAGGAGGUCACCAAACCUGUGAGUUAAAGUCAUUUAAUCUUUGCGCUAUUGCUAGUCUGAUUUUAAUAUGCUAUUUAGAAUUUGUGCUUAAUAUGAUUAUUAGUAUCGCAAAAUAAAUGAUUUCACUUGAUUAUUAAUAUUUAAAAUAAUAUAGAUAUUAUUAUUAGUAUGUUAUAAUAAGAUAAACGUUAUUAUUUUUCCCCUCACAAAUUGCACGUUGUUUUACCUUAAAUCUUUAAUCUUUAUUUCGAUAUGUGUUGGUUUAGUUCAUCAGAUAAUGAUAUUUAUUAUAUGUGAUGAUUGCGAAUUGGGAAAUGUGGCUUGUAGAACAUGCCGCCUGAUGGGUUACAUCAGGACCGCGUGCGCACUAGUAAUGAUUAUGGACAUAAGGUUAUUAUGGAUUUGUUUGCCCUGAUCGAGCAUUGCUCUCUGGGCUGAGUUCAGUUGAUUGCCGGAGGUAAGGUCCCUGGUCGAGCAUUGCUCUCGGGGCGCCAGUCUUAUUGGAUUAAGAGAGCCGAAUGGCUACUAGAUUUCUUAUUUGGAUACUUAAGUGACCAGACUGGAGGUAAGGUCCCUAGUCGAGCAUUGCUCUCGGGGCGCCAGUCUUAUUGGAUAAGAGAGCCGANNNUUAUUUAUUAAGGUAUGAUUAUAAUAUGGAUUGUAUUUACGUGCAUGGUUGAUAUAUUGAUUCGAAUGAUCAAUAUUUUCUGUGAAGAAAGUAAUAGGGUAUGAUUAUAGUAUGAUUGGUAUUUAUGUGCAUGGUUUGAUAUACUGAUUUGAAUAAUCUAUGUUUUCUAAGAAGAAUGCAAUAGUUCCCAGAUUAUUUGAUUUUAACUCACUCUCGAGACUGACAGUCUCAUUUUUACUGUUUUUCAGAUUCGUGACUGUUAGUCCUCUCGCGACUCUUAUUCAGUAACCCGACUCCUUCAUCAUCGGGUGAUGUAUUUGAUUUGGUAUGUAAAUUGGUAAAUCUUAGAUUCUCCGCAGUAGUAAUAGUAGAUGUAUCAGUUGUAAAUUUUCUGAGUUUCAGGUCUCGCCUAGUUCUUCUGGCAAACCGAUUAAAUUAUGUAAAAUGUAGCAUUUAAGAUAAUUUGUGGCUUUAAUAAUAUUAAUUUGAGAUGAGA